UGGAACUUCUUCCAUGGUUGUCCCGAGG
rnacentral:piRNA from 1 species